UCACUCUGGUUUCUCUUCAAUCCCACGCAUAAAUCUUUCGCCCUUUACUAAAGAUUUCCGUGGAGAGGAUUCGAAGAUGUCAUACUCUCAUCGGGCCUUAGGAUUUUACGAAUCAAGGAGAGU